rnacentral:rRNA from 1 species
AUUGAACGCUGGCGGCAUGCCUUACACAUGCAAGUCGAACGGUAGAGGGGGCAACCCCUUGAGAGUGGCGAACGGGUGAGUAAUAUAUCGGAACGUGCCCAGUCGUGGGGGAUAACGUAGCGAAAGUUACGCUAAUACCGCAUACGAUCUAAGGAUGAAAGCGGGGGAGUCGCAAGACCUCGCGCGAUUGGAGCGGCCGAUAUCAGAUUAGGUAGUUGGUGAGGUAAAGGCUCACCAAGCCAACGAUCUGUAGCUGGUCUGAGAGGACGACCAGCCACACUGGAACUGAGACACGGUCCAGAC